UACGAAGGGGGCUAGCGUUGCUCGGAUUGACUGGGCGUAAAGGGCGCGUAGGCGGUUCGUACAGUCAGACGUGAAAUUCCUGGGCUCAACCUGGGGGCUGCGUUUGAUACGUGCGGACUUGAGUGCGGAAGAGGGUCGUGGAAUUCCCAGUGUAGGGGUGAAAUUCGUAGAUAUUGGGAAGAACACCGGUGGCGAAGGCGGCGACCUGGUCCGAUACUGACGCUGAGGCGCGAAAGCGUGGGGAGCAAACAGG
rnacentral:rRNA from 1 species